UACAGAGGGGGCAAGCGUUGUUCGGAAUUACUGGGCGUAAAGGGCGCGUAGGCGGCCUGCUAAGUCGAACGUGAAAUCCCCGAGCUCAACUCGGGAACUGCGUCCGAUACUGGCAGGCUUGAAUCCGGGAGAGGGAUGCGGAAUUCCAGGUGUAGCGGUGAAAUGCGUAGAUAUCUGGAGGAACACCGGUGGCGAAGGCGGGUCUCUGGGCCGAUACUGACGCUGAGGAGCGAAAGCGUGGGGAGCGAACAGG
rnacentral:rRNA from 1 species